CAGCACCUCAAGUGGUCAGGAUGAUUAUUGGGCCUAAAGCGUCCGUAGCCUGUUUAAUAAAUUUUUUGUGAAAUUGUUGGGCUUAACCUAACAACGUGCAGAAAAGACUGUUAAACUUGGGACUGGGAGAGGUUAGAAGUAUCUUUGGGGUAGCGGUAAAAUGUUAUAAUCCUAAAGAGACUACCAAUGGCGAAGGCAUCUAACCAGAACAGGUCUGACGGUGAGGGACGAAAGCUAGGGGAGCAAACCGGAUUAGAGACCCGAGUAGUCC
rnacentral:rRNA from 1 species